rnacentral:rRNA from 1 species
UUAAUUCGAUGCAACGCGAAGAACCUUACCUGGUCUUGACAUCCUCGGAACCCUACAGAGAUGUGGGGGUGCCUUCGGGAGCCGAGAGACAGGUGCUGCCAUGGCCUGUUCGUCAGCUCGUGUCGUGAGAUGUUGGGUUAAGUCCCGCAACGAGCGCAACCCUCGUCCGUAGUUGCCAGCAUUCAGUUGGGAACUCUACGGAGACUGCCGGUGACAAACCGGAGGAAGGUGGGGAUGACGUCAAGUCAUCAUGGCCCUUAUGACCAGGGCUACACACGUGCUACAAUGGUCGGUACAAAGGGUUGCCAAGCCGCGAGGUGGAGCCAAUCCCAGAAAACCGGUCGUAGUCCGGAUCGGAGUCUGCAACUCGACUCCGUGAAGUCGGAAUCGCUAGUAAUCGCGAAUCAGCCAUGUCGCGGUGAAUACGUUCCCGGGCCUUGUACACACCGCCCGUCACACCAUGGGAGUUGGUUGCACCAGAAGUAGUUAGUCUAACCGCAAGGGGGGCGAUUACCACGGUGUGGUCAAUGACCUGGGGUGAAGUCGUAACAAGGUAGCCGUA